rnacentral:rRNA from 1 species
GGUGGUGCAUGGUUGUCGUCCGCCCGUGUCGUGAGUUGUUGGGUUAAGUCCCGCAACGACCGCAACCCUUGUCGUUACUUACCAUCGUUAGACAGGUGGUGCUUGGUUGUCGUGAGCUCUUGUCGUGGGAUGUUGGGUUAAGUCCCGCAACGAGCGCAACAGUUGUCUUUAGUUGCCAUCAUUAAGUUGGGCAGUCUAGAGAGACUGCCAGGGAUAACCUGGAG